GAGACUUUACCUGGUCUGGGCUGGUCUGGGCUGGGCUGGGCUGGGCUGGGCUGGUCUUCCCUGAAGGCUGAGACAUGGCUGUCCUUCAUCAAUCUUGACUAGACAGCCCUAUUCAUAAGGUUUCUGCAGGACCCUAGCCAGGCACCCAUUUGGAUCCUGGGAGGUUGGAGAGACUUGGCUUCAGUGUCAGGCUGACAUUUCUGAGAAAGCAGUGCAGAUCUCUCUUCUUACAGAAGGUGGUGAAGCCUGAGGACCGAUGGCCAGGCUGGGUUGCAAGGGGUGGAUGGCUGGAAUGCAGUCUGCAGCCUCUGUGGGAGUCCAGGCCGUUCCCUCAAGACGUACACAUCUACCAGAGCAUGCAAGGCCACUUCCAGAAAUCGCAGGCGAUUGGCUGUUUCUGUUAACUAAGUUUGCUCGAAGAGCUCCUUUUUCCUUGGGAGGCGGCAGGACUACAGGGCAGUUGCAAAUUGAUCCCCAGAGAGGGUUCUGUCCAAUCAGCCACCCCUCCAGCUUCCACCACAGGAGCCCAGGAACAAGCCGCCACUUCAGCAAUCCAAUCUCCAUAUAUUUCAUUUUUAAAAUAUUUCAUUUCUGGCCAGCGGUUCUUAGAUCGCCAAUUUGAUUUGGUUUCUAUAAAUGGAUUUUUUUUUGUAGUGUAGGUGGAAAAUAUAUUUAAUUUCAAAUAUCUGCAAACUAAAAUAUCUAAUGUAAACAUCGAGGUAUUCGUGAGCUGGGCAUGCACCCCACAAAGCAGAGAGGCCAGCUUUGAGACAGCCUUGGGACAGGAUUCUCUGUUUCCAUUUCUGAGGAGGACUCUGGAGAGCCAGCGUCUGAUCUUCAGGGGUUCUCCCUGCUUCCAGACUUGGCUAGAAAGAAGGCCACUCACUAGAACUCCAACUAAGAAACCAGCUUUGUGGAAUAACCAGCGAUCUCCAAAGGGCAGCCCCAACCGUGCAAUGGAGCCGCACUGACUGCGUUGGACCCUCAGACACCCCUCUACAGCCAAGUUCUUGGACCCUUUUCCUCAGCCAGAAGAAGAUAUGAGGGGACAAAGUCCAGCGCUCGGCCUCCUGAGCUCCAGGAGCUGAUGUAACCCCGGCUGGCAUCACUCCAGUUGGAGCUCAUUCAUCACCAGGAACUAACUUGGGCCUGGAAGAACGGCUAACUCUUUGCUGGAGGUCACAUAGCAUGAAGUGUUGAGGCUGCGCUCCCUCUGCGGGCCCCACAGGAGGAUCCUUCCUGCAACCAGCUCCCAGGCUGCCCCCACCCCCCAGAAUCCCUCCGUUCUCUCUGUUCACAUGUCCUUUCUCAGUCUAGAUCCGAUGUUUUGUUUUCUCAGGACACGCCCAGUAUGGUGUCAUUUUGACUUAAGAGUUGACUUCUAAACAGAUCCCAUUCUGAGACCCCAGGGAGAUGUGGUUCAAUCCAGUAUACCCCGAUGUGGGAAGGCUCGGAGAUAAGGAACAGACAGCUUGCUCACGGAUAAGGAAUCUGGGCCCUGCCUCUUGCUAUCUUGUCUUACCCAGGCUAGCCCUUUACUGGCUACCUGAACCUCUCGGUCUCUCCAAUCCUCUGGGACAGGGCCUCUAAUCCAGCCCUCUACCCCCACCCUUCAUUCUCACCCCUCAGUGUACUGGUUACUUGCAGAUACCCCCAAGGCACAGAGAUGUCCCCUCAGGCGCUUCAUGUCUGCCCCGACAUAGUGAACAACAACCAAUUUGAGUCCUAAAGCAAAUUAACAAUGGCCACAGUUACUGAAUCCCAUCAGAAGCGUGGGCUAGGGUGUGGGGCGAACCAGACAACCAGGCAACCCUCUCUCCCACUGUUCACUCGAUACUCGAUGCUACUUCAGUCAGGAAAGUCCUUUGCUACAAUGCUCCACCUCUACCCUGAAUGCCAUCUCUCUUCCACGGGCGUCCUGAAGAGAUAACUUAGCUUACCCUUCCCUGGAGGUCACAGCUUCUCUAGGGAUCUAAGCAGGUCUUCUUAGCUGGCAGAACAAAACCCACAGCAGUCGUCACAGCCUUUGAGAUAGGGCCUCGUGUAACCCAGGCUGGCCUCUAUGUAGCCAGCCAUGAUCUUGAACUUCUAAUCCUCCUCCUUCUGCCUUCCAAGGGUCCUUUUUUAAUAUAUGGUCAGUCUACCAGUUCUGUCCCCCCAGGGAGCCCCGACUAUACACACAGGACGCAGCAGGUGGCGAGAAUGACAGGCUUGCUCUGUGGCCAGUGCCGUUGUAGCAUGGUACCCAUCUUAACACUGGAUUUUCUCCCCAGCACCCCCACUAUACAGAUACCAGGAAGCAGAUGACGGUAACAGCGGAGUGUACGGAGAGCACGUCUCUACCCAAGCUGGUCUGAGGGCACCUUAUCCACAUCUCAUGGAAGACAGGAACAGCACGGUAAGGGUGGUGGGUGGAGCUGCAGAGAACCGUGAGCCUGCAGGUCACUGAUUGGAUAGUUCAGAGCAGCCCCUGUGUUGAAGGCCAGACAGUUGAAUGGUGCAGAACCCCACGGGAACAGGGGUAUGGUAUGGAUGCUGGCUUCCACUUGGUUUCUUUUCUGCCUCCCGUGUUCUCUAUAACCACACACGGAUGAAUAUUUGUUAUUGUCUUGACUGGUUCCUUGUGUGAUACUCAGAUCAUCAACUCCACUGCAAGAUGUUGCGGGAACUCAGUUAUCCGUUGUCCUGAUCACUACCUGUCACCCAUCCUUCCUGGCUUAAGGCAACAAACUCAAGUCCCCCUGUCCCCGGGUUAUCUAAAGGCUGGUGACUAUGUUCACCCUCUCCUCAGGCUGCUUGCUUCUUAAGGAGGGUGGGCCAGCCUAGCUUUCCUACCCAAAAGAUCUGCUCCACAGGGCCUCCAGUGAGACUACAGCUCCAGGGUGGUGAGAGAGGUCACUGGGAAACAGAUUUCUGGGUCAAAGAAAGCAUCCAAAGGGGUUUUAAUGGGAGUGAGAUAGGCUAUUAUCAGAUGCCCCAAGCUAGCCCGUGGAGGGAAGGAACAAGUCCUCCUGAGCUAGGAAUUGGCAGCCACCUCAGAGCUCAUCCGGACGGCGCUCUUCCUUAUCUGUGGCAGCCAUCGGCAAGGUGACAGAUAAAAGAACAAGAAGGAUGUUCUAUGGAUGGAGAAGAAGGCUGGAGCCAGGGACAGAACAGGCAGAAUAUGCAGGAGACUCAUCUCAGCUGCCAGGGACCCAAACCAUUCUGAGCUAGGAGGUGCCAAACUUGCAGGACCCGAGGAGAGGCACACUGGGACAGAUUCUAUGCUCAAGGGCUUUAUCUCCAUCAGUAAACAAGAGAGUCCAUGGGAAAUGAACCCUUAAAGUUCUGCUGUAAUGGUGACUCGAUCAUAUCCCUCAAUUGUGCAGAGACGGGCUGGGGUGCAGAGCCCUGGGCAUUGCUGCACCCCUAAAGUCUCCACAGAGCCACUGCGCUUGCCUCAUCUCCAGAUAACUCAGAGCCCUGUGCCCAAGAAGCACAGGGGUUAGAGCUGGCCAGACUGAGGGUUCAUUCUUACCCAAUCCACAAAGAAUCCACGAAUCAUGCAUAAGCAUGCAUGUACACACACAUACACACACUCACACACACACACACACACACACACACACACACACACACACACACACCACUUUUCUCCUCCCAUAAACAUCAUCCACCAAAACCCCAAACCAAACACGGGUUUAGAAGACAUCGCCAUGGUAAUUUAAAAGCCACUUUACUACCUUGUGCGACUCAAGCUGGUAAAUUGAGUGGACGGUGAUAUGAAAAUAUUUCAUUAGAUUUUUUUAUGCCGAAUUAGGCUGGUGCAAUUAUGUUGGCACUCAGAAUCUGCAUUAGUCUGAAACUAUUUUUAACACUUUUUCUAAUUUAGUAUGAUUAAUUCUUUCACGUAAGGACACACUUACUCUGGUGUUCUGAUUGUUUCACUGUCUUGACUUCUCUCUGCUUAGGUACCGAACUCAUAAAGGAUUCUUGUUCCAGGGGCUGGGAUCCAAUUUCUCAGGACAUUUACUUACCUAAGAAGAUGAUCGUGCUCUUGCUUUUGCAACAAUUAUUUUCUCCACGGGGCAGACCAAGCCAUUGACAUUAACUGUAACGCACCUCAACUUAUUAAAUAGGGGCUGGAAACCCCAGAGCCCAGAAGGCUGUUUGAAAAAGAGAUUUCUCGAAUUGGUUUGCAAGAUGCAUAUUCUGCCCAGCUUUAACUAAAUAAAAAAUGACCACUCUGUGUUUUUAAAACUGGACAGAAGUUAAUAUACCAAUGUGUGUGUGUGUGUGUGUGUGUGAGAGAGAGAGAGAGAGAGAGAGAGAGAGAGAGAGAGAGAGAGAGAGAGAAAAUAUAAAUGUUUUCUCCAGGGAGGUUAUACAAUCUCAAUGUGUGUGUGUGUGUGUGUGUAUGUGUGUGUGUGUAUGUGUGUGUGUGUAUGUGUGUGUGUGUGUGUGUAUAAAACAAUAAUAAUAAGAGGUCAUGAAUUAAAGAUGGGAGACACGGGGUUGGGGAUUUAGCUCAGUGGUAGAGCGCUUGCCUAGGAAGCGCAAGGCCCUGGGUUCGGUCCCCAGCUCCGAAAAAAAAAAAGAAAAAAAAAAGAAAAAAAAAAGAUGGGAGACACAAGGGACGGUCAGAGGGUGAGAGUGAGGGGUAGAAAUGAUUUAAACAUAAUACUACUCAUACUGAAAUUCUCAAACAAGCAAUCAAACAAUAAUACAUACCCUGGAAUGCACAACAGACCCUUUGGGGACAACACCAGAGGGACCCCGUGUCCCAGCGAAGAGUGGCAUCUGAGAAGACAGACUGUCACCAUGUUGCCUGCUCUAAGUUUCCUCCUCCUGAAAGCUUAUCAGUGGAAACACUCGGUCUGUGUUUGUAAAGCAUCUGGCUCUUUAAGUCAAAACAAAUGUGUGCUGUCACAUUUUGGAUUCUUGUUAAGAAAAUAUUUGGGGGUUUUUGUUUGUUUGUCUUUUUUUUUUUUUUUUUUUUUUUUUUUGCUUUUCAGCAAUUCUCUUCUAAUCUGGUUCUAAUAAUAAUAACUUUAAAAGCACACAGAUUCCAGCGCCGAUGUCUCUCUCCGAGAUGCACCCUGUUGCCGGUGUGCCAAUUAUGAAGACGAUUUCCAUCCAUCCAGACACUAAUGUCAUUAGUCCACCAAGAUCCUUCGGAGAUCAUUUACAUAGAGACUGCUUUCACACGCUAGAUGUAAAAUGCAAAGUGCGGAGCUCUCCUGGACGGGAUGCAAUGUGAAUCACAAGCCUCCUACAGAAGGGUCCUAUUACCUGUGCUGCUGCUUACUGAACAGGGAGGUGACGCAGUCAACUAGGAAGCUAUUACCCGAGCAGCCACUGAGAAGCCAUGUCAGACGGCACUUCUCCCUCAGCCUCCCCAGGAAAGCUGGUUCUUACUGACUUCCAUGACACCCACAUGGGCACCGUGGCCACCAUAGCAUCCUGCCGCCCCUGCAUUUAUGGCAUCCUGUUUCUGUCAAAACUCAGAGACAGUUGCCUGACCCAGGGUCUCCCGUUUAGGGCAAGAAGGGCCUAGUGUACACGCAGGGAUCCUGGAAAGUGUCAUAGUGUCACUCAAAGAGGGCCAAGAGGGAGAUGAGGAGAUGGGCCGAUCUAGGUUCCUUCCCUAGGGGUGUACUGUUGAAAUGUGGGGUUGGGGACUUUUGACUGACUGGGAAGCCCAGAAAGGCAGAGGAAAUUGGUGUGAGGGCAGGCACCCAGUGUAGUCUGGCUACACAUGAGCUAGCUAGACCCAGAGACUGGGUACUGGCCACUUAGUAGUAUUCAUAUUAAUAUUACUAAUAUGAUUGUUACUGGAAUGGUUAUAACCACAGCCCGGCACUUGGUAGCCAUAGCAACCUAGAUUCAGCCACCUGUCAUUUUAUGAUUAUUGUUUCAUAAGAUUUAUGUUUUAAGUGUGUGUGCGCGUGAGUGCAGGUGUCUCUAUAGGUCAGAAGAGGAUGCCAGUCCCCUGGUGUCGUAGUUACAGGAGGCCGCUUUUAUCACAACAGUUAAAGGGUCAGAGCCUGGGUCCUGGCAGACAUAACAAUCUAGGCUUUAGCUGCCCAUUGUCUGUUGGUCUCUUAGUAAAAUAACCAUGAAAGGUGGAGGAAGAACACAGCCAAAUUGGGAAAAGAAACAGAGGGGCCGGGAACCCCCAUCUCUAUUUUUGGGCCUCUUGACAUGGAGUUUAACGUAGGUUUAAACAGAAGGCAAGAGGUGUCUAUAGCUAUGGACCCAGCCAUCAUUGUCUCUGUGCAGCUAAGUGGUCCAGGCGUGGUCCCACCACAUCAUAGUCUCAGCUCCAGUCUCUCCUGCAAGGUGGUCUGACGGGUUGUCAGAACUGUGUGGAACCUCUUUCUAGAAUUCCAGUUCCCUUCUGGCUGCCAUCUGGUUUCAGCCUCUUCCUUUCUCCCAUCGAGGCACACCUGGGGGAAAUUCCAACCUUUGGGUUCAUUCGUUUUAGUUGUCUGACAGCCAGAGGGAGGGGUACGAGCACAUGUGUCUCCUUAUUGUCACUUCUGCAGGGUUUUCAUUGUCUUAUCGUUACCAUGCUGUGGACGGACAGAACACGGGGCCUUGCACACAUCAGUCCAGCACUGCAACACUGGGCAAAUUCCCAAGGCUGGAUAUAUAGGACUGUUCUCUUUUUUCCCUUAAAGCCAAACAUCUCUGAAAUUCAUGGGAAUAAAAUUGUCCAGUGGAGGAGUAGCCUGUGAGGGUAGUGCUCUGAGCUUCCUGUAACCACCCCAGGCCCUUCCUGAGGCAGCUCCCUUCCUCCCCUCUAGUCCUGCCUAGCCAGAGUCCAUUCCCUGACCUCCCUUCCAGGACAGGAAGGGCUGGUCUUCUCCUGCCUGGGGACUUCCAUCAGUGCAGAGGCUCUGGCUAUGGGGGCAGGCGUGGGAAGAUGGGCUCUCAGGACACAGCCCUGUUUUGAUGGAGGCUUUUAGCAUUCAGGUCCAUGAUGUCCCCCAGCCUUGCUUGGUGGGUUCCUGAAGUAGCAAAAACAGAUGCUAGUGGAGAGAGCUGGGCCGCAGGCACUGUGGAGAGCGUCGGGCAGGAGGCCAGCAGGUUACCUCUGUGGAAACCUAGCCAUUUUGUUGACGGUGUUCUGACAAUGCUCAGGGCUGCUCAGAGCAGCUUUGCCUCGCGCCAAGCUGCUUGACAUUCUGAGGAGGCAUCCGCCGCUCUAGAGGAUGACUCCUGUGACUUUGACAGCUUUUGGGGCUGUGGUUCCUCUGGCUUUGCUGCUCCAAGGCUUAAGCCAUCUCUAACUUCUUACUUCUCACGCCUGAGGCCCGGAAGGUCCAAACUGAUCAGGGAAAGGAAACUGACUAAAAGCUAUACAAGAGGAGCGGGAGGGAGAGAGGGUGUGUGGGGUGCGUGGAGGGGAGACAGGGUCCCUCUGCCUUAACCGAUAAAAAGUGAGGCCCUCAGAUAGAAGUCUGCACCUGGCACUUGCCCAUCUUCCAUGCCAUUCGUGUUUAAACCAGUAACUAGGUAGGAGCACUCCCACACUUACCAUCUCCCUGCGACUCUUGCUGUUCUUAGCUCAAGUUCUAAAACCUCCUCUGAGGUUCAUGGGCCCUGCAAAGUUCAGUUCCAACCCUUCUCUCAUCACCGCCCCCUUCAGGCUCUGCACUGCAAGUACACCAACUGGCAUUCAUGCCUCUCCUCUAACACACGUGCCCCAGGGCCUUUGCAUAUGCUGCCCCUUCGUCCUCUACUGCCCCCCUCUCCCUGCUGACAGUGUCAACGAAACACCACAUCUUCCAUGCUUCCUUUGUAGGUCUCCAGACAAGCUGAUCAUCUGCUGAAAUAUCUCACCUCUCUGGUACUUUUCCUCAGCAGUAGCUGACACAGUUGUCUCGAUCAAUUAGGGAGUCUAAAGUUGAAAACCCACGACAUGCCGGAGGAGACUGAGCUUGAGAAUUAGGGAGUCUCGUCUUUGAGCAGGGAUCUCUGAUGAGCUAAGUGACCUGAAUUACAUAAAAACCUGUCUGAACCUGUCUGUCAUGGGUGGGACAAUGAACAAUUAUUGAAAAGUUAUCAUCUGAAAACGGCUUGCUGGCACGGCAAGGCGCACCCUCUGUUGCAUUUUUCUCAUAAUUGGUUUUCCUGUCAUUGGCGUGGUUAUUAAAGGGCUAGGUUGCAGGCUGGGGAUCUUCCUACUACAGUAUUUGCAAGCUCAGGCUGAAGAUGCCCACCCUGUGUAGUUCUUCUCCUUGGGCUGGGUGGCAGAGCCACAUGUUUCAGGUGGUUGCUGGGAACUGAAUUUGGGUUCUCCGCAAGAGCAGCAACUGCUCUGAACUGCUGAGCCAUCUCUCCAGCCCAGGCACAAAUGAUUUUUUGCUGAGUAAACUUCUCUCCCAUUCCCAGUGCUCCGUCCUGCACUAAGUCACCUGUGGCAGCCAUGCUGGCAAAGCAUUGGCUCCUAAUGUUGUCUGGUGCCAUCAGACAACACACUCUUGGAGGGAUGAGCUCAACACACACCCAGCGUCACCAGGAUGUGCCCAGGAGUUUACCCAAGAAAGCAAUUAGGUAAGGAGGGAAGGCUUGCACUCAGGGAGUUUUCAGGACACACCGGAAGGAUUCCUGGCUGGGUGUAAAGGUAUCAUUCGCAGGAUGAAUGUCACAUCCUCAAAGGCAGCAAUUAGGUCAAGUGCUCAGCAGCACAGAGUCAUCUACAAAGAAGCUCCUCGCUUGAAAUAGAGCCCAGUGACAAUGUAUGUGAAUGCCAAUGAAAUUACCCAUACAAUACAGUGUGUGUGUGUGUGUGUGUGUGUGUGUGUGUGUGUGUGUGUGUGUGUGUGUGUAAGAAAUGUUCUGGGGUCUGUGAAAUGACUCAGUCGGGGGGGGAGAGAGAGACAGAUAGAAAGACAGAGAGAGAGAGAGAGAGAGAGACAGACAGACAGACAGACAGACAGAGAGAGACAGAGAGAGAGAGAGAGAGAGAGAGAGAGAGAGAGAGAGAACUUAUUGCCAACCCUGACUACAUGAACUGAUAUCCAGGACCCCAUGAUAAAGCCAACUCCCAUAAGUUGUCCUUUGAUCUCCACAGUCACGAAGUGGCAUGUGGUAUGUGGAAUGUGUAACCUUCCUCAUGUAAAUGUAGUUACCUUUUUAAAAUGUGUCCUUUUGGAAGGUUCCCCCCAGGGACUUUCCUCACCCUGUCCCGAUUCCCCUGCCUUUAGUUGAAGUAUUAAAAUCAGAAUGUAACUCUUACACAUUUAUUUUGUCUUUAUAAAUCCAUUUAGCUAUUCAAAACAUGUUUUAUAUAAAGUUUACAGUCAGCAUGCUGACAACCAUAGGACAAGUAAGUAGAGAUUCUGUGCUGCAAAUACAGAUCAACUUGGGGGAAACUGCUACCUGGAUGAUACCAAGCCUUUAAAUCCAUGAACAUGGUAUGUCUACUCCAUGAACAUGGUAUGUCUACCCCAUGAAAAUACUGUGUCCAGCUCAUGAACAUGGUGUAUCUAGUCAAUGAACAUGUAUACCUCUCCAUUGAAAGGUCUGUCCCUCAACAGUAUUUAUAGCUUCAAAUGCCAAGUAUUUAUUUACGUAGCCUUCUAGGCUAUUUCAAUGUGUUACACUGUCACUAAGUGUAUUUUACUUGACCUCUGUUUUCUAGAAGAUCCUUGCCACUCUUUGGAAACAUAGUUGCUUAUUAUCAAUUCACCUGGUUUUCAGGGUUCUUUCUGAAUUCACCUACCAGUUCAAACGAAUUUUUCAUAGAGUUUAUUACUGUUUUCAACAAACAGCACUCAUUCUUUCCCACCCAUAAUGGCUUUCAGCACUCCUUGUAUGUUGAGCUUCUUUCUUGUAUGUUCAAGCCCUCCAUCCCAGCCAGCACUGGGGUUAAGUGAGAGAAGGCCAUUCCUAACAUUAGGGAGAAGUACAACAGAAUACUAGUUACAUCACAGCAGACUUUUUAAAAUGAUUUUUUAAGUACAUAUGUGUACAUGUAUGGACACACAGACACACACAGACAUACACAUACACAUGCACAUAAAUGUGCAUACAUAUAUGUAUGCACACUCCACAACAUGUACAUACAUAUGUGCACACAGAGACACACAUGCACAUACACAGACCUCACAGACACACACCCCAGAGUCCAGGUGUGAAGAUCAGAGGACAGCCACAGAUAACUGUCUUCACUUUCCCCCUUGUUCAAGACGAGGUCUCUUGUUGUUUACUACUAUGCUCUCCCAUGAGCUCCCAAGAAUUCUCUGUCUCUACCUUGUGUAUUAGUCAUGUUCAUGCUGCUGCGAGAAAAUUCCACAAUGGAAAGUGUCAAGUGGAAGAGUUUAUUUUGGUCUGUGGUUCCAGAGGGAUAAGGGUCCAUCCUGUCUAGGAGGCAUGAGAGCAAAUAGUAAGACACUUAAGCAGCAGCAUGAGGCUUAGAGCUUACAUCCCCAGUGGCAAUCAAAGCAGAGAGAGCAAACCGGAAGUGGGUCAGGCUACGCACUCUCAAACCCCGCCUACCCCUUGAUUCACUUCCUCCCAGAAAGCUGCUUCUCUUCCCUGGACACCCAUAGGUAAGCCAAGCCCUGGCUACUGAUCGGAACUUCAUGUGGGUUCUGGAGGUCCAAACUCAGGUCCUCAAGCUUGCGUAGCAAGAACGCCCUGGGCUCUUCUCCAGCCCGAGAUGUCCUUUGUCAGAUGGUAGGAAACCCCUCUAUGCCUACUUUGCCGAGAGUUUUUAAAACUCAUGAAUGAAUACACAAUUAUGCCAUUUUCUGUAGCUGUUGAUAAGAUUAUAUGGUCGAUAUCCUUUGUUCUCUGAACACAGGCAAUUACAUCGAUUUUUUCAAAUGUUAAAUCAAUCUUGCACAUCCCCAGUUAACCCUAUUAAUCACGGUGAAUUAUUCUUUUCACACGGAGCUGCAUCCCCUUUGCUAAUACACUAUUAAGGAUUUUUCCAAUUACGUCCCUGCCGGUUAUUGGUUUGUAGUUUCCUGGUAACGCCUCCAUCUUGACUUAUGAUCAAACACACCACCCUUGUGAAGUGAACUCCCUGACUGGCGUGCUCCAUCUUCCUGUUUUCUGAACAGCGUUCGGUAAGGUGAGCGCGAGCCUCUCCCUAAACGGCUGACAGAACUCGGCAUGGGAGAGUCUUCUUCGUAGGAACAUUUAUAAUUAUAAAAUCAAUUCCUUUAAUAAACACGGAAUGAUUUAGAUUUUCUGUCUCUUCUUGUGCAGACCUUAGGGGGGGUUUUUUUUUUUUUUUGCUCUUUGAGAUAUUUCCCCAUUCCCUGCUACCUGAUUAAUCACCCUAAGGUCUCCUGCUACUCUCUUACUUUUACUAACCCUGGAUACAGUUUCCCCACUGGAGUCACUUUUUAUUCGUGAUGCUAAUCAUUUGCUUUUUUUUUUCUUCUUUGUUUCUUGAUCACAUUAGCUCUACAGUCAUCCAUCUAUUGAUCUUUGAAGAGCUUUUCUUCUGGUUUUGAGAAUUCCGUCCACGUAUACAUUGAAAUACGAUCACACCCAGUUCCCGUUUCCCUCUCCCGCUCCUCCGGUUGCCCACAACACAUUCUCCUUCCGGAUCUUUUGUCUUCAUCGCUUGUCUGGUUGAUAAGCCCGUCCGUUGCUUCACUCACCGCUUCAUUGAUGUGCUGGUUGGGAUUUUGUUGAUGUGAUAGAACCCAGGAUCAUUGAGAGAAGGAACGUCAACAGAGAAGAUGUCUCUGUCGCACUGGCCAGUAGGCGAGUCUGUGGGCUCCUAACGAUUGUUACGGGAGGGCCCAUCCCUCAGUGGGUGACCACUGCUGGGCUGAUGGUCCUGGGUGCUACGAGAAAGCAGGCAGAACAAGCCGUUGGGGAGAUGACUUUAACCACCACUCUUCUGUGGUCUCCAUACCAGCUCCUACCUCCAGGUUCCCAACCUGCUUGAGUUUCUGCCCUGACCUCCCUCUGGAAUGGGCUGUAAUUGACAGGUGUAUGUCACAGAAACCUUUCCUGCUCUGGUUGUUCUUGGUCAUUGAUUGCUCUUUACCUUGUUCCUCUACUUUGAUCCCAAUCAGCUCUUCUUUUCCUACCCGCUAAACAGAAGAGCGCACUUAAGCUUUUAAACACUUGCUAGUGCAAAUGACACGGAUUGAUUUUUAUGCGCACACAGUAGAAGCGCUGAGAACAGGAGCCUCCCUCUAAGACCCGCUUUCCUUACAGCAGAGGGCUCUACCCACAGCCACGGUUUUUCUAUAUCUGCUCUGAGUUUCCAUUCAUUAAAAACAAAAAGGUUAUCUAGAACCUGGGAAUGUCUCAGAUACCUGUUCUGCUACUGAUUAAUUCUGUUAUCAUCAAUGUCCUGAGCCACCUAUGCUCGGGGAUCACAGCAGUGAACUGCCAAUGUACAGUUGGAUGGUCCCCUCGGUCCCCUCAAUUCUUGGCACAAAGCUGCUCAGAGCAGUUCUUUUAUAAUCCCACUGUCCCUAAGAGUUCACAGGGAUGUCCUCUCUUUCCUUCCUGAUUUCAGUCCUUUGGGUCAUCUCAUGUAUAGGUCAUGGGACAGCCGUAGCUCUAAUAUUUUGGGAAACUGUCUCCCUCUCCUCCACAGCAGAACCACUAUUUUAUAUGAUCUGUAUUAUCAUCUUCUCUGGGGAGAAGAUCUCAGUUGGAACCUCAGUCUGUCAGCUUCCUUGGUCCAUCCAUGUGUCUCACCUUGAGACAGGGUCUCACUAUGUAGACCUGGCUAACCUGGAACUCACCGUGUAUGUAGAUCAGGUUAUCUUCCAACUCACAGAGGUCUACCUGCCUCUGCCUCUCUGCCUCUCUGCCUCUCUCUGCCUCUCUGCCUCUGCCUCAUCAAAGGUGUGCACCACCACACCCAGCCUUAGCUGGAUAUUCAAAGAAUUAAUUUCCGCUGCCAUGGGCUUUCUCCGUUGCUGUCUUGAGUCUCCAUUUUGUUCCACCCUUUCUGUAUGCUGCUCUAACAUGAAGCCACAGGACUGUGUGCGUAGAGGCCAAAAAGUACUUCUCUCACGGUUCUGUGAUCAUUAGUGCCAGCAAAUCUGAUCUCUGAUGUGGAUUCUCUUCCUGGCCAGUUAAGGACCAACUUCUUAUCAUGUCUUCCUCUGGCCUUUCCUCGUAGAGAAAGAAAGAGCUAAAGGGAUGUGUUCCCCACUUUAAAAAAGAGAUUUCAGUUAAAAAAUUAAUUGUAUGAGUAUGUGCAUGUGCACAUGUAUGUGGAUGCCCACAGAGGCCAGCGCCAGCAGAUUCCCCGAGAGUUGGAGUUACAGGUGACUGUGAGCUCCUGACUCAGGCACUGAGAAGCAAACUUGGAUCCUCUGGAAAACAAUCCACCCACUCUUAGCCUCCUCUUCAGCCACUAGGAUGGGUAUUACUAAAUACACCAAUCCUUUUGGACCAAAGCUCUGCCUAUCCAUCCUUAAUGAUGUCCGGGAGAGACUCCUCCCACCUUGUAGGCCAGCAGAUCUAGCACAGCAUCCUGGGGGUGGGGGGCAGAGGAAGAGGAGCGCCCAUCUGCCAGGCCCUCCUUUGCUUCUUUUGAGUCUCACUUGAUUUUAAUUUAUUUUUCUAACUUCCGUGGAGGGGGUUUGGGCAGCUGUUUGAGAUCAGUUCCUGCUUUUCUCUUUUGAUGACGUGGUCAUGAGAAGUGGUAACUUUCUCGUGAUUUUGGUCAAUUAUGUUCUUAAGAAUUAAACACUGAGAAGGAAGAGUAUCCCAUCCGCCCACGUAUCUACUGUUUCCGAUGUUCCUCUGUGCAAACAGGAACUUUCAUUUAGUAACGAUUUCUUUCAACUCGAGAAGUUCCUUUUGAGGUCUUAAGGCCUUGCAGCUGCAGACUCCCUCCCUUCAUUUUACCAGAUUUCUGGUUUGUUUGUUUUGUGAUUGGGGGGGGGGGUGGCAUUUGUUUGUUUGGGGUUUUGUUGUUGGUUUUUGCUUGGUGUGUGUGUGUGUGUGUGUGUGUGUGUGUGUGUGUGUGUGUUUCUAAAAAUGUCUUUUAUUCUUACUCUUGAAAAACUAUGUUCACCAAGUAGAGAGUUGCAGGCUGGGGGCGGGGGGGUCUCCUCUUGGCUGCAUAGCCUUAUUUUGUGAUGUUUGGAAUAAAAAAAAAGUACUGUUUCUUGCUUUUAUAAUGUGCCUUUCCUCCCCCUAAUUGAAACCUCUUCUCUUCAUUGCUGGUGCUCAGGAAUUAAUAUUAUGGCUUGUGUUAACUUCUUUGUAUUUAUUCUAUGAUCUGGUUCAUUGAGUAUCUAGGCUCCACUUAAUUUUAUAAUUCCCAUCAAACUUGGAGGAAUCUUGACCAGUAUUUCUUCAAAAUGUUUUCGUUGUUGUUGACUGCUUUUGAGACAGGGUCUCACUAUGUAGCCCAGGUUAGACUGGAACUUACUAUCCUCAUGCCUCAGCCUCCCGAGUGUUGGGAUCCCAGGUGUCCACCACCGCACCCCACUCCUCUUCACAGUGUCCGUCCCUGUGGCCCCUCAGUGGUUCAUACGGUAGAUCAUGUGCUAUUGCUCCAAAGUUUAUGAAGAUUCUCUACUUCCCUCUGCCCGUUCUGCUCUGGGCGGUUUACACCAGUAAACUUAGUGCUUUAGGUCUGCGUUCUCUGAUCCAUUUUAUGUUCUGUCUAACCUGCUACAAGGCCUAUUGUGGCGGCCAGACUCUAGGGUGGACUCAAUAAAACCUAACUCCUGGGCCUAUCCCACUGUGUCAUCGUAACCUGUCGAUCAUGGGCAUAUGGACGACUUGCUUCUAACUGACUGAAACAGCCAAUGUAUGAUAGCAAGACCAAGAUCUAUGAUUAGGUAUAGAAACAACUUCUGUCUUAUUGGAAAACACCACUCUGUAAGAAGUCCAUAUGGUGAGGUGGGGAAGGUGAUCAUGGCCAGCUUAGAGCUGAAGCCCUUGUUCUAACAUCUGAUAAAAACCUGAAUCUUCACACAAGCACACCCUCCUCACUCAAGCCUUCAGGGAGCCCCCAGCCUUUGCUGGUACCUUGAUUUCAGCCUUGCAAGUGGCCCUGACACAGGUGACUUCUCUGAUCCCUGCCCAUUUUCUGACCCUCUGAACUAUGAGAAGGAAGGCAUGGCCAGAGACUGCUGAGUUGGGGGUAAUUCGUAGUGUGCCGGCAGAUAUCGAAUCUGGUGAGAUUUCGCUUUGAAUAUAACAUUUUCUGAUCAGUCUUGCUUCCUGUGGUCAUCUUUUCCUGUGACUAACACACACUGAGGACUGGCAUCUCCUGGUGUCGUCUCCAAGCCCGUGUCUCUGGGUUCCCCACCAAUGUCACUGAUUUCUUCCUCUCAGAUCUGGCUGUGUUUUCAUGAUUCUUUCAUUGCCUGAUAACUUUUAUUGAGUUCGGGGUAUUGUGAAUAAUGCAUUGUUGAUGGUGGAUUUCGUUAUGUGAUUUAAAAGGAUGCCGAAUUCUGCUUAGUCAGGCGUUGCGUGACUGCAUCUCUCUUGAAGUUUGCUGCUCUGCUUUUUUUUUUUUUAAAGGUGAAUCUAUUCCGAGGAGAAGUCAGCCCUGUUGUAACACGUGAUCAUUCUGGGGCCUCUAGCAGAUACCCAGAUAUUAAACCUGCUAGUCUGAGCUUGACAAGAUGCAGGACCAGGUUACAAGGCCCACCCUGUAGUGAACCACUUCCUUUAGCUACGCCUCCACCUCCUGAUGGUCCCACGGCCUCCCCAAACAGUGCCGUCAUCUAGGGGCCAGAUAUUCGAACACAUGAGCCUUUGCAGGAGAUGUUUCCACUCAAACCACCUCAGGCUUGCUUUCGCGCAACCUCGUGACAUACUGCCUCGUGCCUGUGACGGUUAGCGGUUAGCAACGGGCUCUCGGCUGCCACGAAGAUGCCUGGAUGUUUCCCUGGUUAUUUUUUUUUUCUUUCAAGAACUUUCCAGGAGUCUUCCUUAUAAGCGUCGGGAGUCUCUGCCUCCUCAUACACCAUUCUCCUCCUCAAAGCAACUUCGCCACCACCGCUCUGCUUGCCCACGCACACCCAUGCUGCGGCCUGGAAACCCCUCUGGCUAAAUCACAAAAACCCCUUCAUCUAUUCAGACCACACAGCCCUGAGCUGCUGCCUAACACCCAACACAGCUACGCAUGGACUCCAGUGGGUUUGGGCGAAAAUCAUGAGCUCAUUGUCGUUACUAUUAGGGUCUUAAAGCAUUCUGGGAGAUGGGCAAGAAAGAAUGGUCUCAGCGCUUGACUCCACCCCUUUGGACUCCGCCCCUCGGGUCUUCUAGUUCUGCGCGCUGCACGCAGCAAGUAUUUAUCAGAAAGCCCCAUAGCCCCCACCUACAACGGAUUUCUUAUCCCCUAGGUGACGGCGGGUGUCCCCUCGGUAUUUCAGCUGAGAUAUUGCUCUCAUGGUGGAUGUGGGUAUCUUCUAUUUGCUGUGGUCUCAGUAGACCCCAUGAAUCACGAGCAUCUGUCUCGCUUCCACACUGCCAGCCUCUGGCUUGAAGACCCGCUUUGUGCCCUGAGGAACAAGCCUCCAGGGAGUUCCAGGCUGGCCACUAUGCAGAAUCCCCACACCGACGCCCCAACCCCGUACAGAACGAUUCUGAAAUCUCACAGGUGCCCACGUUACACCCUGAGCAAUGGGAAGCAAACUUCUGCUCUGCAGCUCCCAUUUCCAGCAAGGAUUGCUUUAGCUUCUAUCCUCUGAAGUCAAAGAGCUCAGACGUGAACCCUGGAGAUGGUCCCACCGCUGUCCGGAACAGGGCAAGGUCUGAGCGAUUUCUGGAUUACGACACUUUUUUUUUUUUUUUGGUUCUUUUUUUUCGGAGCUGGGGGAUUACGACACUCUUAAAGACACUCUAUAAGUUCCCAUCGAGAACACCAGGAACACCUUCCUUCCCCUCCCUCAACUUUUCCACCCCGCACACGGGAAACUGACACCCAGAGGGUUUAAGUGGCUUGCCUAAUACCACUCAGCCCAGGAUGGGGUCACCCAUCGAGAAUUUUCAAAGCUGCCUCCCAGGCUCCUGCUACAACCCCGUUAGCGGUUUCUCGGGACCCUUUGAAACAGAAACCAAACUCUGAGCCACACCUGAGCUUCUGACCACUGUCCCCUGUCUCCUCCAGUCACUGUCACCUCGCUUUGAUCCAGCAGGGUACCUGAGGUGUCUCUGACCUGAGGUGACUCUGAGCAUCAGUAGCGUCCUGCCCUCUGGAAAUGAUCCACCCACCAAAGGACAAUCCUUUCUAGCCACCAGUGGGAUGGGUCUGCCUUAGGUAGGCCCACAGGAUCCCAGUAGAUCAUCAAUAGCCAGUGUUGGGAUCUGGGCAUGGGCCGUGCGUGCCAGUCCUGUCCCCAUUCCUCCCUCAUCACCGAGUCCACAAUGGAGGGUAGACAGUCUGGUAGCUGUGGACAGUGCUCCCCCAGUGCCAAGCAACGCAGUGCACACGGUGGGCCUAGGUCGUGAAUGAAUGGAUGGGCGAAUCCAAUAAUCCGUCAUCCUCUGAGUGACACACUGCUCACUUUUCAUUCUCCUAGGCUAGACCCAUGCACCCUGUGGGGUCUCACAGACAACCCUGUUAGUCCUGAGUUAUGUUGACCCAUGCUCAUGUCCACAGAACAGACAGCCCCGGCAUGGAGCCUGGUCCAGGUUUGCUCACAACUGAGAUCACCUCACUGCCUUUGUCUCCCACACACACACCGGUGCCCCACGGCAUGGCAGAGAAGGCUCUGGCGGGCCUGACUGCUCUCCAACCUACUGCAUCUGCCGUUGGUGGCUUGGAAUAUCAGAUGUGAACUCGCCGAGUGCCUUGGGAGGCCUUCCCUUUUGCACACAAAAGUGAUACGAGUCUGACCCAGGUCCUUGCACACGCCCUCUGUGGCAGAAAGAAAGCUCCGUGCAAGCGUCAUCCUGGGCGCACCCCGGUGCCAGGUGUCCAUUAUUUUCAGCAGAUGCUGGCAGGGGUUACCAGUUGAUCAGCUGCUCUGGGACAUGACUGACGCCAUUUUCCCUCCCUGAAGGCAUCCCUGUCCUACCCAAAGUUGAAUCCCCAGCCCUGACAACAGCAGCAGCUUUACCCAAAGACUCUCUCACUCCAUGCAGGAGCCAGUUCUGCCACACAGCCAAGUCUGGAGUCCCCAGGCGACUCUGCCGCUGGAACUUCGAGCAACCCUCCUCUAUGUUUAUUCUCAGUGAAGGGACUCCAUUCCCCUCUGCUCCCAGAGGAGGCAGCUGGCGCUGCUCUUGCAAAGACACCAGGCUGUGUCCCCCAGCUCGCCUGCCCCUGCCUGGCAGCAGCAACCUGCAUUCCCUCACAUCUAACAGACACUGGAAUGAGCAAGGCAGAAGAACCCCAUGCUGCAGUUCUUAAUAUCACCAUAUUAGGGGCAUUAAAAAUGCAAAGACAGAUAAUGAAGCAAAAGAAAUUAAAGAAAGGUCUGGGAAACCUCCCUCCCAGCCUUGGAAACACUUCCGUCCCCUAAAUGUGAGCCGACAUCUGGUGGCCCCUGUCACACGCCUGCUCCUCCUCGCUCAUGGGCCAAGUGUAAGAUUCUGGAAACCUGCAAAUGUGGAGAGCGGGUGCAUCACCUUGUUAACGCAGCAGAAUGCAGAGGGCGGACCUUUAUUAGAAAGCGAUGGAUCUUCGGGAGGACAGAAUCUCAUCUGGGACAGGAGGUCGGGACCUCUGCUUGUCCCGCCUCUGCCCCGGCUGGCUGCGAGGCUUCUCUCCUCGCUUCCAGGGGUGAAGAAAACUGAACAUCUCGGAUGGAAAAGCGAACGGGGAGGGGAAGGGUAAUUUACAGAAUUUAUUUCAUCCCCUCUCCCUUAAUCACAUAACGACAAAACCCCCAAACAUUCUACAUUCUGGCCUGUGUCCGACACAAUGUGCAAGCUAAUUGGGUGUAAAAACCGUCGCUCUGCGUUGUACCCAUUAAAGUGCGUGCGACAAUCGCUCUCCCUCCCACCCCCCCCUCCCCGAGAGCUCUGCUUCAUUUCUGUUUUUGUUAUAACUCAGUCCGUUCACAAUAUGUCAUCGAGGACGCUAUUUGCAAAAGAAAAGUAUAAAAACAGAUUCUUUAUUCCGAACUGCACUCGUUUUGCAUCCCCCUCUCAGCCUCUCCGCGUUUAGACCAGGCUUCCAUCCGGAAGGCUUUAAAAAAAAAAGUUAUAGACAGAAUUGCCAUACAUAACGAAGCACGCUCUCAUCUGGUAUUUAGCCUGAGAAUUUUAUUGCCAGGUGUUGCGAAAGGGGGAGAUACGCGGCCAAAAUAUACCGUGCUUCCUCUUCGUUUUCAAACACUACAUUUCGUGUCUGAAAAUAUUCAUUAAUCUGGGGAGGAGGCUUCCUCAGUACAGCCACCUAAGGGACUCCCAGGAAAAGAUAGACAUCACCAGGAAGGAAGCUGUGGUGGGCAAAGGCAGGGAUGACCGUGGACCCCCUGACUCUGCCUCUGCAUACGCGGGAACCAGAAACUCAGAGCUGCCACCCCUCCAAACCUCUGCUUAGCCACCCAGGAACCGGAAGCCCAGCUCUACCUGUUCUGCCCACCUAACACUCAACUCCCUGCAGCAAUUAAAGAGUUAAAGUCAGCAGCAGGGGCUGCUACUGACCGAGCUGGUUUAAAUGAUUGCUAUACUAGCAUGAGGACCCAAGCUCAACCCGCCAGAGUUCGAGGGACAAACUCUGCUUAUAAUGAUGCACUCCCAUAAUCCCUCUGCCGGGGACAUGGAGGCGAGAGGAUCCUUGGGGCUUGUUGUCUAGCCAAUCUAGCUGAAUCAGGGCAUUCCGGGUUGAAAGAGAGACCCUGCCUCAAAAAUAUUAAAAAAAAAAACGUGACAGAUUGUUAACCUAUGGCCUCAAAUGUAUGCACACACAAAUGUUCUGGAACCUGAACAUGCACACAUGCGCGUGCACACACACACACACACACACACACACAUAUACACACUAGCAAAAAGAUCCAUUUCCUAUUUUUUUUUUAGCAGAAAGACUCAUUUCUUUUAUUUCAAUAAAGAUCUAUCUAUUUCUAGU